ensembl:lncRNA
AUGGAGGAGGCACGAGCUGUUGAGUUCGCUGACUGCCGCACCGGGAGCGCGCGCGUAACCGUGUGUUCUCUCUCUCGCACUCUCUCUCUCUUUCUUCAUCAGCGAUGUAAUGUUAUUAUGGGGCGAUCUCAUCUCCGAUUUAUGUUCAGAGAAAUAAACUCCUUUUGGGGAGGGGCAGGUGGGAACCUGGGAGGUGGCUCAGGAGGAGGAUGGACACCCGGGAGGGGGCCGGCAGACAGAGUCCAGGGAGGUGAUGAAGGAGGAAGGAGCCAGGAGGGACUUGGAGCAGGACUUGGAGCAGGAGGAGCCAAGCUGGACCCAGGCCACUGCCAUUACGGUGGCCCACGGUGGAGCUGAUGGAGGGCGGAGCCAUGGAGGAGGACUGGCCGCCGACUUCAGGGGGCUGACCAACAAUGGCUGAGCAGGUGGCGGAGGAGCCCUAGACGGAGACGGAAAGUCAUGAGCCAGGGGGAUGCCAAGGAUCUGGGGGGCCAGGGUGGAGCUGAGAUCUCUGGCGACUGAGGUUGGAGAUCCGGAGAUCUACGGCAGAGCCGGAGCGACUAAGGACCAAGUUGGAGCUGGCGGGAGGAAGGAGCCCAAUGGAGCCGGUGGGAUGGAGCGACGAGGUGCAGCCGGAGGAGCUGCAACUCUUCCUACAUAAAGUAGUGACGUAGACAUGUGGGGGUGUGUUUAAACAAGGCAUUUUAGGAGGGCGUGGACAAGUCUUAACUUUUAUAAAGAAUAUCUCUUUGCAGAACUUUACAGAUCGUCUUUAUGCACCAAGAGCUUAAUUGUAACACUCCAAAGAGAAAGGAAAAAUUGAAAUCGCAUCAUAUGACCCCUUUAACUUAUUGGGAGACAACCGGUAUGUUCUAUAUGAAAUCAUACAUUUGAGCACCCCCAUGUAGCCAAAAUGGCAUGAUCAUAACACCCCUUGAAUAUACGACUGUGAGAUUGGUAGUCAAAUCGGGCUCCUCCUAUCAAAGCAUCGAAUCGACGACUUUUCAGGGUCACCCCUAAUUUAUAUAUAUAUAUAUAUAUAUAUAUAUAUAUAUAUAUAUAUAUAUAUAAAUACACAUAGCCAAAAUUUAUAUACAAUAAUGGCAUCAACAUCAUUCUUAAUGCAUGACAGGAGUGAAAGGAAUGUCUUUUUUACAUCGAAAUGUCUUUACACCAUUAAAUAAUACAUUUUCAAGGUGUCCUUUGGCCCGAAACAACAUUUCUCUUGUGUGCUUCUGUCACAGUUCAUCAGCCACCCUGCAAUCUCUCCAUCCUCAAAAACAAAAAUAUGGCAAUGUCAAUCACAUACAAACUCGUCUUCCAUCACUAAAGUACUUGACAGGUCCAGCUUUAAAUGCAGCCAUUACUCACAGUGACAGCAAAGUGACUUGACAUUGGAAAGGUUAUUUAAAGAUAUUGUACUUUAAUGAAAGUGGAACGCUUAUUCCUCUAUGUAUUUUGGAUCUCUAGAAGACCUGAGUCAGUUUGUGCCAACAUAUUCUUUAUUUCGAAAGAAAUGUUGGCACACUAGUGCAUUUUAUAACUUUUCACCCUGCUAAGUACAGUCAUGGUCAACGGAGUCAAUAGGUCUGUUGAUUUGAGGCAGGUGUCAUGUUAUGCUUCAGCUCACUUUGAUGUAUCAGGUCACGGAUGCACAUGAAUCUUUGGACAAGCAACACCCAAAAAUAACACCAGGAGCGUGAGGCAGUUGGUGGAGCCAUGUUUCAGUGUGGCAGAAAGCCCGGGCACAGUCUGUGCCCCAACUAUGAGCAUGCCGUACUUGUGCCAAAAAGACAUGAAAGACCACCAGGAUUAUUAGAACAUAGGAUAAAUCCCCCCGUCCACAAUAAACUCCUUUCAACCAAAGCA